rnacentral:lncRNA from 10 species
AAUCCUGAUGUUUAUUGUCUAUUGAGAAAGAAUUCCUGAACAGGUAGGGAUUUCCUGGGGAAAGAGACAGCAAGAUUGGUGGUCAAUAGUUUUUGACUCUUCUUCCGAUAAGCAUGUAACCUCAGCAAUCUAUAGUGUCUUUAGGGGUUUCACUUCAUGUAGUUAUCUACAAAACCCUGCUGACUCACUGUUUGAUAUUACUGGGCUCUCACAUAGUUGCUUCACCAGCACAUACAGGGGUCUGGGUGAAGUUGGAAGCAGCAGAAUGUAUACUUCUGAAGUGCAUUAUUCACCUUGUGGUCUCAUUUGUCCCAUGCACAUUCCAUACCUAGGAUUGCUUAUCUCACCAGGACCUCAAAAAUGAGAUGCAUGGAUCCAUAACAGAUUCCUGCUGUGUUAUGCCAGUUGGUCCUCAGGGCUACAUGACCAUCAUACAUGCCUCAUGCCACUGUUAGAAACUGGAAACUACUGGAGAACAGCUGUAGAGCAACAUGAAGUACAUAAUUAUAUGCAGUAAAAUAUCAUUUUUGCAGAAUGGGUUUGGAUCAAUGUCAAAAUGAAUUUUCAGGAAACAUGAAAUUGACAACAUACAUUAAAAAUUUUUUAAAUAUACCUUAUAUUCAAUUAACUAUUGUGAUGAAACA